rnacentral:rRNA from 1 species
GAUGAACGCUGGCGGCGUGCCUAAUACAUGCAAGUCGAGCGGACAGAUGAGGAGCUUGCUCCUCUGACGUUAGCGGCGGACGGGUGAGUAACACGUGGAUAACCUACCUAUAAGACUGGGAUAACUUCGGGAAACCGGAGCUAAUACCGGAUAAUAUAUUGAACCGCGUGGUUCAAUAGUGAAAGACGGUUUUGCUGUCACUUAUAGAUGGAUCCGCGCCGCAUUAGCUAGUUGGUAAGGUAACGGCUUACCAAGGCAACGAUGCGUAGCCGACCUGAGAGGGUGAUCGGCCACACUGGAACUGAGACACGGUCCAGACUCCUACGGGAGGCAGCAGUAGGGAAUCUUCCGCAAUGGGCGAAAGCCUGACGGAGCAACGCCGCGUGAGUGAUGAAGGUCUUCGGAUCGUAAAACUCUGUUAUUAGGGAAGAACAAAUGUGUAAGUAACUAUGCACGUCUUGACGGUACCUAAUCAGAAAGCCACGGCUAACUACGUG